GUGUUGAUCACUUCAGCAGCACAUAUUCUAAAAUUGGAAGGAUACAGAGAAGAUAAGCAUGGCCCCUGUGCAAGGAUGACAUACAAAUUCGUGAAUUGUUCCAUAUUCUU